rnacentral:rRNA from 1 species
UACGUAGGCAGCGAGCGUUUGUUCGGAGUUACUGGGCGUAAAGGGUGUGUAGGCGGUUUUUCUAAGUUUGGUGUGAAAUCUCCCGCUUAACCGGGAGGGUGCGCCGAAAACUGGGAGACUAGAGUGCGGGAUGGGAGAGUAGAAUUCCUGGUGUAGCGGUGAAAUGCGUAGAUAUCAGGAGGAAUACCGGUGGCGAAGGCGGGUCUCUGGGCCGUAACUGACGCUGAGGAGCGAAAGCAUGGGGGAGCGAACAGG